AUCCAGCUAACGAGUCCCAAAUAGGGCGUAAAGCGCAUCCUGGAU
rnacentral:hammerhead_ribozyme from 1 species